rnacentral:lncRNA from 1 species
AUUAAACCAAAAGGAAGGUUAAACACCAAUAUAAACCAAAUAAAAUGACCAUGACCUUAAACAUUAACAAGUUCAAAUGUAGUUGAAUUAAAAACUAACACAACAACACAACCAACACAACCACAGUCAAAAGAAAAACGUUGAAAGGAAAUAAAAUAAAAAAACAAGAAAAAACAAACUUUGUCUUCCCCUCCUUGGAUCCC